rnacentral:rRNA from 1 species
GAUGAACGCUGGCGGCGUGCCUAAUACAUGCAAGUCGAGCGAACGGACGAGAAGCUUGCUUCUCUGAUGUUAGCGGCGGACGGGUGAGUAACACGUGGAUAACCUACCUAUAAGACUGGGAUAACUUCGGGAAACCGGUGCUAAUACCGGAUAAUAUUUUGAAUCGCAUGGUUCAAAAGUGAAAGACGGUCUUGCUGUCACUUAUAGAUGGAUCCGCGCUGCAUUAGCUAGUUGGUAAGGUAACGGCUUACCAAGGCAACGAUGCAUAGCCGACCUGAGAGGGUGAUCGGCCACACUGGAACUGAGACACGGUCCAGACUCCUACGGGAGGCAGCAGUAGGGAAUCUUCCGCAAUGGGCGAAAGCCUGACGGAGCAACGCCGCGUGAGUGAUGAAGGUCUUCGGAUCGUAAAACUCUGUUAUUAGGGAAGAACAUAUGUGUAAGUAACUGUGCACAUCUUGACGGUACCUAAUCAGAAAGCCACGGCUAACUACGUG